UCAAGAGUCAUUGACCCAAAACUCGUUACAUGGACCUUACUAGAGCCUAAUGGAGUUGGACUGUUGUAGUCACUGUGCGAAAAAAAAAAAUAUUUUAAACAUGAGUGGGUUAGUUAAAUUAAAACCAAGUGACUUGUGGAUGACUGGUUUGACUCCAUUGUUUUAGAACUCUGUGUACCUGGGAUGUCUAGUUGGGAUUGAUAGCUUCAUUUUUAUAUGCGAACCAUUCUGG
rnacentral:lncRNA from 1 species